CUGGUUGCAAAAAGUUAACUGGCCAGAUUACUGACUUAAAGGAUUUCUUUUUAAUCUCAAAAGUACACCAUUUGUAAUAACGAUUUGUUAUAUAUAUAAUUGGUUAAUAUCUGAAUAUAUUGAAAAAUUAAAAGAGCUCAUAAAAGUUGAUGACCAAAGAUUUAUUAUAAACACGUAUUGUAAAAUCUUUUACCUCUUACUUUGAAAAUCUGGAAAAUUUUAAUCUUGAUAAAAAAAAAUCAACGGGGAGGUAUUUCGGUGCCGUGGGGUAUCCUCGCCGAGGGAAACCCUAAACCGAUUUAGAAAUAACAAAAUCUUUGGAAGUGCGAAACUAAGGUUUUGAAUUCACUAAUCAGCAGAAAGGUGUCUUGUUUAUCGGCUUUCUAGAGAAAAGAAUUUGUAGCAAAUUAAAAUUACUUUAAACUUGGCGAUAAUCGUUGCCCGCAAUCGUUAGACAUGCGUUUGCUGGGCUUUUUAACAAAAUGUGGCCCAAAGAAUCAUUUCAAGAAAACGGAGGGUAAUUUAUAUGGUUUUAAGUCACACCGUGGGGUCAAUUUAAACCUCCCCAGCGGAGACUUUUACCAUGCAGAGAAACACAAACCACGGGAUUCUUUAGUUAUUAGCGCUGAUCUGUAGAAAAAACAUUUUAAUUGUGUCUAAAUUAUUAAGGACGACUUUACGUCACGUGUAUCUUUUCAAUUUUCAAGAGUGACGUCAUAUUUAAACCGUGUCGCGCUUCUUUGUUAUCAUGGGGGGAAGAAUUCGGCGAAUGUCGAAUAAAUAGCAAGCAAAAUAACCUUGGCGAAAGAUUACAGAGUUUGUGUCAACAAAACUCGCGAUAAAGCAGUCGGUUAGAGUAUAAAUACACACAUACAAGACGCUCUCUAGAUAUAUUAUACAAUUGAUCUGAGAGCGAUUUUUUCCCUGCCGAAUGAGAGGUUUUUAUGACGACCCACUGCCGCAAGACAGGUACUAAAUGGAGAUUAAGUUUUAUCAAUCUGGCAAAAUCUAGACAUUGGCUUAAUCCCUUAAUCCUCGUUGAUACGCUUCAAGACCAUCAUCUACAUACGGUGGGUCUGGAGAAGGAACAACUCGAUUCGCUCGUGUUCAUGCGCCUCCCAUUUGCAGAUACUUUAAUUCUGACCUUUUAUCGUUUCCAAAAAUACAUUGUUUGGCAUUACUACGGAAUGCAUGCAUUCAUGCGUCUGUUGUGUACGACAUUUUUGUGUUUUUUUUUAUUCUUGUUUAAAGAUAACACGUACACAGUAUUUACUUUUCUCCUCUUGAAACCCCGACAAUCAUCAUGCUGUACGAUAAAAAAGAAUAAUUCUACAGAUAAAAAAGGGAAACAGAAACAAUGGAUUGAAAUGAGGCAAUGGAAAGAUCUUCUGUAUUGGAGAAGAUGACAAUGCAAAGUUGUGCUAUUAGCCGAGUAAGAACAGAAUAGGACCCACACGGGUUACUGAGUAACAUCCAGAUGUAAAUACCCAGUGACAUUAUUUAUAAAAAUGUACUACAAGGAGGAGGUAAAAGGAGGUCACCCAGAGAUGGACAAAACAGAAGCCCCCAAUUGUGAAACAAUAAAAUUAAUAUCGGAGAAGAAAAUCAAUUCAAAGAUGAUCGAGAGGAUUUUUUUGUAUAAACUUUUCUGUAAUCGAUUUUCGUCCACUGAAUACUUCGUGUUAACCAAACCUAUUUUAAUUUAUUCUGUAUUUGAUUAAAUAAACACCAGCAGAGCGAAGAAAUGCGACAAAAGGAAUUGUA